UAAUACGGAGGUUGCGAGCGUUGUUCGGAAUGACUGGGCGUAAAGGGAGCGCAGCCGGUUCGAUUAGUCUGGAGUGAAAGCCCGGGGCUCAACCCCGGAGGGUCUCCGGAUACUGUCGAACUCGAGUACGGAAGAGGAGAGUGGAAUUCCAGGUGUAGCGGUGAAAUGCGUAGAUAUCUGGAGGAACACCGGUGGCGAAAGCGGCUCUCUGGUCCGAUACUGACGGUCAGGCUCGAAAGCGUGGGGAGCAAACGGG
rnacentral:rRNA from 1 species